rnacentral:tRNA from 1 species
GCAUUUGUAGUCCAACGGUUAGGAUAAUUGCCUUCCAAGCAGUAGACCCGGCUUCGACUCCCGGCAAACGCA